GACGAACGCUGGCGGCGUGCUUAACACAUGCAAGUCGUACGGUAAGGCCCUUUCGGGGGUACACGAGUGGCGAACGGGUGAGUAACACGUGAGUAACCUGCCCACAACUUUGGGAUAACGCUAGGAAACUGGUGCUAAUACUGGAUAUGUGCUCCUGCUGCAUGGUGGGGGUUGGAAAGCUCCGGCGGUUGUGGAUGGACUCGCGGCCUAUCAGCUUGUUGGUGGGGUAGUGUCCUACCAAGGCGGCGACGGGUAGCCGGCCUGAGAGGGUGACCGGCCACAUUGGGACUGAGAUACGGCCCAGACACCUACGGGAGGCAGCAGUGGGGAAUAUUGCACAAUGGGCGCAAGCCUGAUGCAGCAACGCCGCGUGCGGGAUGACGGCCUUCGGGUUGUAAACCGCUUUCAGCAGGGACGAAGCUUUUUGUGACGGUACCUGCAGAAGAAGCACCGGCUAACUACGUG
rnacentral:rRNA from 1 species